GAUACGGCCAUAUCUACUGAAAACCACCGGAACCCAUCAGAACUCCGAAGUUAAACCAGUAUGAGCUUAAUCAGUACUAAGAAAGGAGA
rnacentral:rRNA from 1 species